rnacentral:lncRNA from 1 species
AGUUUGCCUCAUUCUCUUUGGUUUGAAGAUCAUUUUCAAAAUCUGGAGUUAAUCACAGUUCAGCAAAGCCACAAUCUUCCUCAUUAAUUUUUCCCCUGGCAUGGUGGCCAGAUCCCCUCCGCCCAGUUCCAUAAAAUUCAACAAAAGUCUAACUUUAUAACCAAGGAAAACAGUUUCAGCUUCUAAGUGUUUUAAGGAGGGAAUAGGGAACAGAAUCCAAUUCCAUGUCCACCCUAUACCCUAGCAGUACUGAGAGAACAAGGAUCUACUAUUUACCUCAUUUUCAACUCAAUUUUUAUUUUUUUCUUGUUCACCAGUUAACAAAUCUGGCACUUUCUCUUUAUACUUUUUUAAAAAUAGCUAUCCCAGAACAGCAUUUUAUUUAUUUAUUUGUGUUGUGUUGUGUGUGUGUGUGUGUGUGUAUGUUGCUGAGAAUUGAACCUAAGUCUUUGUGCAUGCAAGACAAGCAUUCUACCAAUUGAGCCACAUCCCUAGCCUUUUAUACUUUUAAAUGAUGUGGACAUCAGAAAUGUGCACGUAAAAGUGAACUCAUCCACAUAACUAUUAGCACCCAGAACACACAUUCCCAACACAGCACUCAGAAAUCCUUUUCUCUGUCUCAGUUAUAAUCUCCCACAAAGAUUACUUAAAGUUAUAUACAACUUUAAAAGGAGUCACACAUGUAGUCUCCUGCCUGGCUUCUGUCAGUCAACAUAAGUAUGAGAUUCAUCCAUUUGCUGCAUAUAGCUAUGUGGUUUUUUGUUUGUGUUUUAUUCUCCUGGCUGCAUAGUAACUCAUCAUGUGGAUAGACUACAAUUUUGUGAUCCAUUUUUAUUGUUGAUGGCCAUUUGGCUGUUGUACAUUGAGCUGCAGCAAACAUUCUUGUACACAUCAGCUGGUGACUAUGUACGCACACAUUUCGGCUGAAUGUAUCCCUAGUAGUAGAAGUGCUGGAUGGUAGGAUAAAUGUAUGCUCAGCUCUAGUCAAUUCCAUCUACCUGACUUCCAAAGCAACCACCAGUUUAUAUGCCACUGGCAGUUGCUCUAUAUAAUUGACAGACCUGGUAUUGUCAGUCUUUUCAAUUUGGGUCCUUUUGGUAGAUCUUAGCUUUAAUCUGCAUUUUGCUGCUGAUGAAUGAACUUGAUCAUCUUUCAAUAUCAGCCAUUUGGAUAUCAUCUUUUAUAAAGUGCCUGUUCUAGUAUUUUACCAAUUUUUCUGUUGUCUCCUUUCUUUUUGAUCUGCAGUUCUGUGUUUUAUAAGUGUUACCUUUAUGUGUAUGGUGUGUGUCUUCUCACAGUCUUUGGUUAUCUUUUUAUUUCUUACCAGUGUCUUGAUAAACAGAAAUUCUAUUUUAGUGUAGUCCAGUUUAUCAGUUAUUUCUUUUAUUAUUACUAUGUUUUGUUUCCUCUUUAAGAAAUAUUUGUUCUCCCAAGCUUAUGAAGAUAAUUGCCUGUGUUUACUUACAGAAGCCUUACUGUUUUACUUUUCACAUUUAGAUCCUCAGUCCAGCUGAAAUUGAUUUUUUUCUUUUUUCUUUUUUUAAUGGUGUAGAAAGACAAGAUUUGUUUCUUUUCCUUCAUGUAGAUAUCCA